GAGAAGCGAAGCGACGACCUUCGGGAGCUUGUACAGGUGCUGCAUGGCUGUCGUCAGCUCGUGUCGUGAGAUGUUCGGUUAAGUCCGCUAACGAGCGCAACCCUCGCUGUGUGUUACAAGUGUCACACGGAACUGCCGGUCAUAAACCGGAGGAAGGUGGGGAUGACGUCAAGUCAGCAUGGCCUUUAUAUCCUGGGCUACACACACGCUACAAUGGGAAGGGACAAUAGGUUGCGAAGCCGCGAGGUGGAGCCAAUCCAGCAAAACUUCCCUCAGUUCAGAUUGCAGGCUGCAACUCGCCUGCAUGAAGUUGGAGUUGCUAGUAAACGCAGGUCAGCCAUACUGCGUUGAAUACGUUCCCGGGGCUU
rnacentral:rRNA from 1 species